rnacentral:rRNA from 1 species
AUUGAACGCUGGCGGCAGGCCUAACACAUGCAAGUCGAACGAUUGGCGGACGGGUGAGUAGUGGCUGGAAAACUGCCAGAUGGAGGGGUAGAACUAAGGGAAACGGUCGCUAAUACCGCAUACCAUUGGAUGGGGCCAGGUGGGAUUAGCGAGUAGGUGGGGUAAUGGCUCACGUAGGCAACGAGCCCUAGCUGGGCUGAGAGGGUGACCAGCCACACUGGAACUGUGACACGGUCCAGACUCCUACGGUGGGCAGCAGUGGGGAAUCUUGCACAAUGUGCGCAAGUCUGACGCAGCCAUGCCGCGUGUGUGUAGAAGGUCUUCGGGUCGUAAAGUACUUUAAGCGAGGAGGCGUUACUCGCAGAAGAAGCACCGGCUAACUCCGUGCCAGCAGCCGCGGUAAUUC